GAUGAACGCUGGCGGCGUGCCUAAUACAUGCAAGUCGAGCGAACAGAUAAGGAGCUUGCUCCUUUGACGUUAGCGGCGGACGGGUGAGUAACACGUGGGUAACCUACCUAUAAGACUGGGAUAACUUCGGGAAACCGGAGCUAAUACCGGAUAACAUUUGGAACCGCAUGGUUCUAAAGUGAAAGAUGGUUUUGCUAUCACUUAUAGAUGGACCCGCGCCGUAUUAGCUAGUUGGUAAGGUAACGGCUUACCAAGGCGACGAUACGUAGCCGACCUGAGAGGGUGAUCGGCCACACUGGAACUGAGACACGGUCCGGACUCCUACGGGAGGCAGCAGUAGGGAAUCUUCCGCAAUGGGCGAAAGCCUGACGGAGCAACGCCGCGUGAGUGAUGAAGGGUUUCGGCUCGUAAAACUCUGUUAUUAGGGAAGAACAAAUGUGUAAGUAACUGUGCACGUCUUGACGGUACCUAAUCAGAAAGCCACGGCUAACUACGUG
rnacentral:rRNA from 1 species